AUGAACGCUAGCUACAGGCUUAACACAUGCAAGUCGAGGGGCAGCAUGGUCUUAGCUUGCUAAGGCCGAUGGCGACCGGCGCACGGGUGAGUAACACGUAUCCAACCUGCCGUCUACUCUUGGACAGCCUUCUGAAAGGAAGAUUAAUACAAGAUGGCAUCAUGAGUCCACAUGUUCACAUGAUUAAAGGUAUUCCGGUAGACGAUGGGGAUGCGUUCCAUUAGAUAGUAGGCGGGGUAACGGCCCACCUAGUCUUCGAUGGAUAGGGGUUCUGAGAGGAAGGUCCCCCACAUUGGAACUGAGACACGGUCCAAACUCCUACGGGAGGCAGCAGUGAGGAAUAUUGGUCAAUGGGCGAGAGCCUGAACCAGCCAAGUAGCGUGAAGGAUGACUGCCCUAUGGGUUGUAAACUUCUUUUAUAAAGGAAUAAAGUCGGGUAUGCAUACCCGUUUGCAUGUACUUUAUGAAUAAGGAUCGGCUAACUCCGUGCCAGCAGCCGCGGUAAUACGGAGGAUCCGAGCGUUAUCCGGAUUUAUUGGGUUAAAAGGGAGCGUAGAUGGAUGUUUAAGUCAGUUGUGAAAGUUUGCGGCUCAACCGUAAAAUUGCAGUUGAUACUGGAUAUCUUGAGUGCAGUUGAGGCAGGCGGAAUUCGUGGUGUAGCGGUGAAAUGCUUAGAUAUCACGAAGAACUCCGAUUGCGAAGGCAGCCUGCUAAGCUGCAACUGACAUUGAGGCUCGAAAGUGUGGGUAUCAAACAGGAUUAGAUACCCUGGUAGUCCACACGGUAAACGAUGAAUACUCGCUGUUUGCGAUAUACAGCAAGCGGCCAAGCGAAAGCGUUAAGUAUUCCACCUGGGGAGUACGCCGGCAACGGUGAAACUCAAAGGAAUUGACGGGGGCCCGCACAAGCGGAGGAACAUGUGGUUUAAUUCGAUGAUACGCGAGGAACCUUACCCGGGCUUGAAUUGCAACUGAAUGAUGUGGAGACAUGUCAGCCGCAAGGCAGUUGUGAAGGUGCUGCAUGGUUGUCGUCAGCUCGUGCCGUGAGGUGUCGGCUUAAGUGCCAUAACGAGCGCAACCCUUGUUGUCAGUUACUAACAGGUCAUGCUGAGGACUCUGACAAGACUGCCAUCGUAAGAUGUGAGGAAGGUGGGGAUGACGUCAAAUCAGCACGGCCCUUACGUCCGGGGCUACACACGUGUUACAAUGGGGGGUACAGAGGGCCGCUACCACGCGAGUGGAUGCCAAUCCCAAAAACCUCUCUCAGUUCGGACUGGAGUCUGCAACCCGACUCCACGAAGCUGGAUUCGCUAGUAAUCGCGCAUCAGCCACGGCGCGGUGAAUACGUUCCCGGGCCUUGUACACACCGCCCGUCAAGCCAUGGGAGCCGGGGGUACCUGAAGUGCGUAACCGCGAGGAGCGCCCUAGGGUAAAACUGGUGACUGGGGCU
rnacentral:rRNA from 1 species